rnacentral:misc_RNA from 1 species
AACAAGGCGUACCUGCGGACCUGCGGAAGGAUCAUUACCGAGUUUACAACUCCCAAACCCCUGUGAACAUACCUAUACGUUGCCUCGGCGGAUCAGCCCGCGCCCCGUAAAACGGGACGGCCCGCCCGAGGACCCUAAACUCUGUUUUUAGUGGAACUUCUGAGUAAAACAAACAAAUAAAUCAAAACUUUUAACAAUGGAUCU